AAAGUCGUAACAAGGUUUCCGUAGGUGAACCUGCGGAAGGAUCAUUAGAGAGAGUUAGUAGUGCGAUGAAUGGCUGGGGCACUUUAGUGCCGUAGCAGGUCAAUGGGACUGUAAACCAAAAAUGUGAGAGUAGUAGUUGGAGGGUUAUAGAUUAGGGUUAAUAACCCAAACCCUAUCCUCGCUGACUAAACUCUCAACUCUUAAUUUAAUAUUAACAACCAAACAAGAUACACAAGGACCUCGCCGCAAUGGAUCUCUCGGCUCUU
rnacentral:misc_RNA from 1 species